rfam:Streptomyces sp. WM6378 P402contig75.1, whole genome shotgun sequence.
CUUCACCGAGCCGAGCAGCAGCGGGCGUUCGGGGUCACGAUCCUGACCGUAGGCGGCCAGCAGCGCCUGGGCCUC